rnacentral:rRNA from 1 species
AUUGAACGCUGGCGGCAUGCUUUACACAUGCAAGUCGAACGGCAGCGCGGGCUUCGGCCUGGCGGCGAGUGGCGAACGGGUGAGUAAUGCAUCGGAACGUGCCCAGUAGUGGGGGAUAGCCCGGCGAAAGCCGGAUUAAUACCGCAUACGACCUGAGGGUGAAAGCGUGGGACCGAAAGGCCUCGCGCUAUUGGAGCGGCCGAUGUCGGAUUAGCUAGUUGGUGGGGUAAAGGCUUACCAAGGCGACGAUCCGUAGCUGGUCUGAGAGGACGACCAGCCCGGCGGGGAGUGCGAGCCGGCCGAGACUCGUGGGGGAGGCAGGGGGGGGGCAUGGAGGACAGGGGGGACACGCGGGAGCCCGCCAGGGGGGGUGGGGGAAGAAGGUCGUCGAGUUGUAAACUGGUUCGGGUGGGGAAGGAAGCCGGGGGGAUACUAGCGGGGGGGUAGGACGGUAGCGGAAGAAGAAGCACGGGCAAACUACGGGGCAGCAGCGGCGGUAAUAGAGGGAAGAGACCAGGUCGAGC